CGUUCCAUCCUUCUUAGUUCGUGAUUUGACCCACACUCUUAGCCUUGACACUUUUGAUGGGUCUUCGCUAGCCUUAACCAGAUCUUCUCUCAAUCUCACCAUUCCUUUACGACCGCACGUGUGAGGAAUCUGCUUCGGGUUCUUUCCCUGUAAGUGUCAGUAACAACCUUAAAGGCAGAACUUGUCUUCUCUCUGUUGAAUUUACGCCAUUCAGUUGGAGUUACAUUCUUGGGUUGCAGCUUCAUCCUUGCUUUCAUUGUAGGAGCAUUCCUGAUUGUGGUUACCAGACGUGAUUUGGAUUCUUUCCACAAACAUCCCAUCUUCUUAAACAAAGCAUCCUUUUUGAACUCUUCGUCCACGUCAAACCUCAUUUGUAUUCACGUAUGGGAGAUACAUUAGCAUAUAACCCAAAUACAUGA
rnacentral:lncRNA from 1 species